UGAGGGAAUAUUGGGACAAUGGAGGCAACUCUGAUCCAGCCAUGCCGCGUGAAGGACUAAGGCCCUAUGGGCUGUAAACUUCUUUAGACGCAGAGCAAUAAGGGCCACGUGUGGUCCGAUGAGAGUAUGCGUAGAAUAAGCAUCGGCUAACUCCGUGCCAGCAGCCGCGGUAAUACGGGGGAUGCGAGCGUUAUCCGGAUUCAUUGGGUUUAAAGGGUGCGUAGGCGGCUUUGCAAGUCAGCGGUGAAAGGCCCGGGCUCAACCCGGAAAGUGCCGUUGAUACUGUGAGGCUGGAAUGCGGAUGCUGUGGGAGGAAUGAGUGGUGUAGCGGUGAAAUGCAUAGAUAUUAGGAGGAACACCAGUGGCGAAGGCGG
rnacentral:rRNA from 1 species